GGGGUUGUGGCUCAGUGGUAGAGCACUUGCCUUCCAUGUGUGGGGCAGUGGGUUCAAUCCUCAGCACCA
rnacentral:tRNA from 1 species